AAUUAAACUGUCAGCAGGUUUCUCAUCCCCCACCCCAUGACUCCGUUCCUACACCUGUCAAAAAUGACCUACCAAGCACUCAAUAAACCUUUCGGUAACAAACUAUUUAAUUCCCCUACUUUAACCCCUUUGUGUCACUAUACCCCACUCCCUCUAGCAUGUAAGCUCAUCGAGCAGGGUCCUCAACCCCUUCUGUUCCUGUACGUCAGUGGUCUGAUCUCAAUUAUGUGUCUGUUAGUCCACCCAUUGUUCAGCGCUACGGAAUUUGUUGGCGCUAUCUAAAUAAUAAAAUAAUAAUAUAAUAAAAGAAGAAAAUCGGCAACAACAAAAGGACAUAGUCUUUAGAGGGGCAAAGGUUUGAAAAUAAUUUCAGGAAGGAUUACUUUACAGAGAGGGUAGUGGAUGAUUAAGUGGUAGAGGUUAACACAGUGAAGAGGUUUAAGCAUGCGUGGGAUAGGCAUAAGGCUAUCCUAGCUAGAAGAUAAGACCAGGGACGAAUGAGUGUAUUUAGAAAAUUUGGUAGACUAGAUUAGCCAAAUGGUUCUUUCCUGCUGACACACUCUGUUUCUAUGUCACAAAUUCAAAGUGUGUAUUCCUGACAGCACAGUAGUUGUUCCAGUGACGUGUGUGUGUGUGUAUAUAUAUUAUAGCGCUAGGGAAUUUGAUGGCGCUAUAUAAAUAAUAAUAUAGUGUCCCUUUAAGUUGUUAAGAUGCUUGGAGAGGUGUCAGUUCUUGCCUACUGCAGCGCUUUAAAGAGGAAUGUCACUUCCUUGAUUCAAGCAUAACAAAAUAAUGAUUAGCCAUUAUUUUUAAUUACACAGAUUCUUUAAAAAAAAAUUAUGUACGCAUUUUGCCAAACUGCAAAUGUUAAGAGAACAGCUAGAAAAAUCUUGAGCGAAGAU